rnacentral:rRNA from 1 species
UAAAAAAUUUGGCGGUAUUUUAGUCUAUUCAGAGGAACCUGUUUUGUAAUCGAUAAUCCACGAUGGACCUUACUUAAGUUUGUACUCAGUUUAUAUACCGUCGUUAUUAGAAUAUUUUAUAAGAAUGUUAAUUUUCAGGAUUUUUUAAAAGAAAAUAUAUCAGAUCAAGGUGUAGCUUAUGUUUAAGUAUAAAUGGGUUACAAUAAAUUUAUUUAAACGAAUUUAAAUUUGAAAAAUUUAUUGAAGGUGGAUUUGAUAGUAAAAUUAUAUAGAUAAAUAAUUUGAUUUUAGCUCUAAAAUAUGUACACAUCGCCCGUCACUCUUACUCUUAAGGUAAGAUAAGUCGUAACAUAGUAGAUGUACUGGAAAGUGUACCUAGAAUGCAAUUUAAAGCUUAUUCAGUAAAGCAUUUCAUUUACAUUGAAAAGAUUUUUGUGCAAAUCAAUAUAAAUUGAGUAAAUUUUAUUUAUUAAUUAUGUUUUUUUUAUUAUAAAUUAUUAAAAAUAAUUAUAAAUUAUUUUGUUUAAGUAUUUUUUAAAGAAAAAAUAAUAUUAAUUAUAGUUUAUUAGUAUUGUAAAAGAAAAUUGAAAUAAUUUGAAAAAUU